AGAGUUUGAUCCUGGCUCAGGACGAACGCUGGCGGCGCGCCUAACACAUGCAAGUCGAACGAGCGAGAGAGAGCUUGCUUUCUCGAGCGAGUGGCGAACGGGUGAGUAACGCGUGAGGAACCUGCCUCAAAGAGGGGGACAACAGUUGGAAACGACUGCUAAUACCGCAUAAGCCCACGGGUCGGCAUCGACCAGAGGGAAAAGGAGCGAUCCGCUUUGAGAUGGCCUCGCGUCCGAUUAGCUAGUUGGUGAGGUAACGGCCCACCAAGCCGACGAUCGGUAGCCGGACUGAGAGGUUGAACGGCCACAUUGGGACUGAGACACGGCCCAGACUCCUACGGGAGGCAGCAGUGGGGAAUAUUGCACAAUGGGGGAAACCCUGAUGCAGCGACGCCGCGUGGAGGAAGAAGGUCUUCGGAUUGUAAACUCCUGUUGUUGAGGAAGAUAAUGACGGUACUCAACAAGGAAGUGACGGCUAACUACGUGCCAGCAGCCGCGGUAAAACGUAGGUCACAAGCGUUGUCCGGAAUUACUGGGUGUAAAGGGAGCGCAGGCGGGAAGACAAGUUGGAAGUUGAAAUCCAUGGGCUUCGACCCAUGAACUUGCUUUCAAAACUGUUUUUUCUUGAGUAGUGCAGAGGUAGGCGGAAUUCCCGGUGUAGCGGUGGAAUGCGUAGAUAUCGGGAGGAACACCAGUGGCGAAGGCGGCCUACUGGGCACCAACUGACGCUGAGGCUCCAAAGUGUGGGUAGCAAACAGGAUUAGAUACCCUGGUAGUCCACACCGUAAACGAUGAUUACUAGGUGUUGGAGGAUUGACCCCCUUCAGUGCCGCAGUUAACACAAUAAGUAAUCCACCUGGGGAGUACGACCGCAAGGUUGAAACUCAAAGGAAUUGACGGGGGCCCGCACAAGCAGUGGAGUAUGUGGUUUAAUUCGACGCAACGCGAAGAACCUUACCAAGUCUUGACAUCCCUUGACGGUGCUGGAAACAGUACUUCUCUUCGGAGCAAGGAGACAGGUGGUGCAUGGUUGUCGUCAGCUCGUGUCGUGAGAUGUUGGGUUAAGUCCCGCAACGAGCGCAACCCUUAUGGUCAGUUACUACGCAAGAGGACUCUGGCCAGACUGCCGUUGACAAAACGGAGGAAGGUGGGGAUGACGUCAAAUCAUCAUGCCCUUUAUGACUUGGGCUACACACGUACUACAAUGGCGUUAAACAAAGAGAAGCAAGACCGCGAGGUGGAGCAAAACUCAGAAACAACGUCCCAGUUCGGACUGCAGGCUGCAACUCGCCUGCACGAAGUCGGAAUUGCUAGUAAUCGUGGAUCAGCAUGCCACGGUGAAUACGUUCCCGGGCCUUGCACACACCGCCCGUCA
rnacentral:rRNA from 1 species